rnacentral:rRNA from 1 species
GUCUACAGUCAUAUCACCCUGAACAAGUCCGAUCCCAUCUGAUCUCGGAAGCUAAGCAGGGUUGGGCCUGGUUAGUACUUGGAUGGGAGACCACUUAGGAAGACUAGGUGCUGUAGGCA